UGAGGGGUUGGCGCGGGCAGGCGCCUCGCCAACCUGGUCAGGACCGGAAGGUAGCAGCCACAACGAGCCCCGCUUGGGUCGAUGUCCAACCUCUCACCC
rnacentral:SRP_RNA from 1 species